AUUGAACGCUGGCGGCAGGCCUAACACAUGCAAGUCGAGCGAGCGGCGGACGGGUGAGUAAUGUAUGGGGACUGCCCGAUAGAGGGGGAUAACUACUGGAAACGGUAGCUAAUACCGCAUACUAUCGGAUAACCCAUAUGGGAUUAGCUAGUAGGUGAGGUAAUGGCUCACCUAGUCGACGAUCCCUAGCUGGUCUGAGAGGAUGAUCAGCCACACUGGGACUGAGACACGGACCAUACUCCGACGGAGGCAGCCGUGGGGAAUAUUGCACGAUGGGCGCAAGCCUGAUGCAGCCAUGCCGCGUGUAUGAAGGAGGCCCUAGGGUUGUAAGGUACUUUCAGUCGGGAGGCGUUACCGACAGAGGAAGCACCGGCUAACUCCGUGCCAGCAGCCGCGGUAAUUC
rnacentral:rRNA from 1 species